AUUGAACGCUGGCGGCAGGCCUAACACAUGCAAGUCGAGCGAGCGGCGGACGGGUGAGUAAUGUCUGGGAAACUGCCUGAUGGAGGGGGAUAACUACUGGAAACGGUAGAUAAUACCGCAUACCAUCAGAUGUGCCACGAUGGGAUUAGCUAGGCGGUGGGGUAACGGCUCACCUAGGCGACGAUCCCUAGCUGGUAUGAGAGGAGGACCAGCCACAUUGGAACUGAGACACGGUCCAGACUCCUACGGGAGGCAGCAGUGGUGAAUAUUGCACAAUGGGCGCAAGCCUGAUGCAGCCAUGCCGCGUGUGUGAAGAAGGCCUUCGGGUUGUAAAGCACUUUCAGCGGUGAGGCGUUACCCGCAGAAGAAGCACCGGCUAACUCCGUGCCAGCAGCCGCGGUAAUUC
rnacentral:rRNA from 1 species